CCAGGAAGUCCCUGGCGAAUUCUUUUGAAGCACAACCCCUACAAUCCGUGUGCCGGAGCAUAAAGAUUGAAGUGUGCGCGGUUCCUCCUCCCUCCGGGCCGCGCGUCCGGAACGUUCCUGGCUGUCAGCGCUGUGCUAGCAGGAAGGUCUGUGAAGUUUGCAAUAAAGCCAUUAUGAAGUCAAGAAUGGAGGUUCCAUUUUUAAAGAACUCAGAGGGGGUAGAUCUUGAUUGACAUCUCAUCUGGGGUCACCUGGUCUUCAACUGAGAGAUCUUUUGGUUCGCCACGGAUGCCCCUUGCAGUUAUGGAAGUUCACUCUUUGAGAGAGAGAUAAAUAAACAUUAAAAUGUAAAGAAAAAAAAAAUCAGCAAUGGAAGGAAAAAGGAACAAAAAGCAAUCCAUUGGCGUCAAGCUUGACUGGACCACUCCACUGCUCUGCUGCCCUUCCCUGACCAGAGGUCGUUUUGAGUUUCCUUCUCUGGAAUUUGACCACUGAGCAGAGACACAUAGGAGAGAAGACGUGAAUGCUGAGUCAUCAAUCAGCAUCACUGGGAAGAAAAAGCCUCUCAGUUUCUUCUGCUGGGACUCCCAGAGCUGGAGUAUUUUCUGCUCUUCCUAAGGCCUGAAUCUCACCUUGUCACCCAGGCUGGAGUGCAAUGGCA
rnacentral:lncRNA from 1 species